UGACCUCUGGUGUAACGGUAGCACGAAUGAUUCUGGAUCAUUUAGUCUAGGUUCAAAUCCUAGGAGGUCAA
rnacentral:tRNA from 1 species